rnacentral:rRNA from 1 species
AGUGAACGCUGGCGGUAGGCCUAACACAUGCAAGUCGAACGGCAGCACAGUAAGAGCUUGCUCUUACGGGUGGCGAGUGGCGGACGGGUGAGGAAUACAUCGGAAUCUACUUUUUCGUGGGGGAUAACGUAGGGAAACUUACGCUAAUACCGCAUACGACCUACGGGUGAAAGCAGGAGAUCUUCGGACCUUGCGCGAUUGAAUGAGCCGAUGUCGGAUUAGCUAGUUGGCGGGGUAAAGGCCCACCAAGGCGACGAUACGUAGCUGAUCUGAGAGGAUGAUCAGCCACACUGGAACUGAGACACGGUCCAGACUCCUACGGGAGGCAGCAGUAGGGAAUAUUGGACAAUGGGCGCAAGCCUGAUCCAGCCAUACCGCGUGGGUGAAGAAGGCCUUCGGGUUGUAAAGCCCUUUUGUUGGGAAAGAAAAGCAGCAGGUUAAUACCCCGCUGUUCUGACGGUACCCAAAGAAUAAGCACCGGCUAACUUCGUG